AGUGAUACAGUGAUAAGAAACUAGUAGCAAACAUUUCCCUGUCUCAGAGAGCUGACGGUUGGUGGAAGUCAGUACACAAAUGUGAGCGAAUUACACUCUUUGAGUACUCUUUUACAGAGCGGUCAGCAGAUCGUUAACAAUUCGAGGUGGCAAGCAAUGUUUGCAACUAGGGUGGUAUCGCGAGAAAAACUCGUCCCUAUG
rnacentral:ncRNA from 2 species